GUCCAGUUGGGAUUUUUCCAAAUGUGUUUUGAGUCUUGCGUUUGGCCUGUGGCCCUGCUGGGAUCAUACCCUGAGCACCAGGAAGCAAGCUUGUUUCUGAGGCAGCUCUGCAGUCUGAUUCGCUGAAAUGCAUGUUGGUUGGAAGAUUGCUUUUCUCUUUCCUGGCCUGCUCCUCUCCUCAGCCUCCCUUUCUGUAGACACUGUGGAGAGGGCAUCGUUUGUUCGUCACAGACAUGGACAUUAAUAGAUACAACCCAGAAGCAUCCUGAUCAUUUCGCUUUGCUUAGUUUGUUCCACAGAGUGGAAAUGGGUGCCUGUUCAAUUUGGUGGGUUUGAGUCCCUGAGGAGAACCCAGCUCACUGAAUAGAUAGCUAAUUAAAAAAAUAUUUAACACAAGGACACCUCUUUCCCCAAAGUGCCAUCACAUGUGUUCUUAUCUCAGAUGGUCACUGUUUUCAAGGUUUCCCAAAACGCGCCUCUCCUGCACCCUUCCUGGGCUCGGUGGCCUUCGCCUGCCCUCAGCCAAGGAGUUCUUAAUUUAUUGCACAAGGGUAUUCACUUCCCCUCAGCUGCAGUGAAUUGCAAGCAAAAGAUCUUGAAAUUAAAAAGCACUAUUGAGUUUAAAACGUCACUUUUUUGGUUUUUAUUCUACAAAAACCAUGAAGUACUUUUUUUAUUAGCUAAAUCAGAUUGUGUUCCUUCUUAGUGAUUCGUGUUUAUGAACAGAGUUGAGUUUAACAAUCCUAGCUUUUAAAAGAAACUAUUUAAUGUAAAAUAUUCUACAUGUCAUUCAGAUAUUAUGUAUAUCUUUUAUGGCCUUUAUUCUAUGCUUUUAAUGUACAUAUUUCCAUCUUGUGUGAUUUGUAUAUUUCACUGGUUUAAAAAACAAACAUUGAGAGGCUUAUGCCAAUGGAAGAUAGAAUAUAAAAUAAAAUGUUACUUGUAUAUUGGUAAGUGGUUUCGGUUGUCCUUUAGAUAACUCACAUGGAGAUUUUUGGAGAAGUCAUGAGGGAUAGUGUAGGAUAACUACAUGUUAAAAUAAUGGAAGAGUGGAGAAUUUUACAAAAACCAAACUAUUUGGAAGCUUCAAAAGAUUUCUAUAUGUAGCAGAACAAAAGGGGAAUUCUCUUUUCCUAUAUAUGUUCCUAAAAAAAAAAUCAAGCAGAUGGCUUAAAGCUGGUUAUAGGAUUGCUCACAUUCUUUUAGCAUUAUGCAUGAAACUUAAUUGUUUUAGAGCAUGUUGCUAUUGUAACAUCCCAGAGAAGAGCUACAAAGCCACAUACUUUUAUCCAUGACCAGCGUUUUAGUUCCUCCCACCCCGAAAUGUAUCUUUGUAUUUACCACUGCAACAAUUGCACCUCUCUCUUUGAAUUUACUGUGGGCCAUGUGUGAUGCUCCUCUGCCCCUUUGAAAGCAAUUUUUAUGAAAGGAAAGCCUCAGUCCACAGAGAAUGAAAACUUUGGAAACUUAAAGGUUUGUUGUGUUAAGUGCGAUUCAUACACAUGCUUGCGCUUCAUGCAAAUGUGCACUGGGGCUGGCCAGGGCUGCAAAGAUUGAUCCUCCACCCUUUGCUUUUUUUCUUUCCAGAUGACGUCUAACGUAUUGAAACCUCUUAAGGAUGCCAAAAACACAUUAUUUUAAAAAA
ensembl:lncRNA